UGGUCCUGACCUUGUCAUCAAUUAUUACUUAACUUAUACAUGCAAGUCUCCGCACUCCUGUGAGAACGCCCUUAAUUUUCUUCUAGAAAUAAGGAGCUGGUAUCAGGCACAACCCUCAGCCCAAAACACCUAGCUUUGCCACAUCCACAAGGAAAUUCAGCAGUAAUUAACAUUGAGUAUAAGCGCCAGCUUGACUCAGUCAAAGUAAAAAGAGCCGGCAAAUAUGGUGCCAGCCGCCGCGGUUACACCACUAGACUCAAAUUGAUUACUUUCGGCGUAAAGCGUGAUUAAAGUUAAUUAAUAAUUAUAGUUGUAUUUUAACUAAGCCGUGACACGCUUGUUUACAAGAAACCCAAAAACGAAAGUUACUAUAUUUUUAACAACUUGAACCCACGACAGCUGGGACACAAACUGGGAUUAGAUACCCCACUAU
rnacentral:rRNA from 1 species